GUAAGUUACUCAAAUGCGUAUGGUGGAUGCCUUGACAUUAAAAAGCGACGAAGGACGUAGCUGGCUGCGAUAAGCCCCGGGGAGUUGUUAAGCAAACUGUGAUCCGGGGAUUUCCGAAUGCGAUAACGCAACCAUUCUUCACUAACGUUCAGAAUGAAAUUUUAAAGACUAAAUUUAAAAUUUUAAAUCAAAUCUAAAUGACUAAAUUUUAAAAAUUUAAUCAUUUGAAAAUUUAAAAUUCAUUUAAAAUUUAUAAUUUAAAAUUGAAAAUUUACAGUUUUUGUAAAUAUAAAAGUUCUGAAUAUUAGCGAAGGAUGGUUAUUCUUAGCUGAAUUCAUAGGUUAAGAAAGCGCACCCUGGGAACUGAAACAUCUUAGUACCAGGAGGAAAAGAAAACAAUUGUGAUUCCGUCAGUAGUGGCGAGCGAAAGCGGAAUAGCCUAAACCAUUCCUCACUAAUGUUCAGAAUGAAAUUUUAAAGACUAAAUUUAAAAUUUUAAAUCAAAUCUAAAUGACUAAAUUUUAAAACUUUAAUCAUUUAAAAAUUUAAAAUUCAUUUAAAAUUUAUAAUUUAAAAUUAAAAAUUUCCGAGCAAUAGCGAGGGAUGGUGUUGCGAGACAAUCUUACUCGUUUAAUCGGGACCGGUGAAAAAUCAUAGUGGAAAGCUCCUGGAAAGGACUGCCAAAGAAGGUGAAAGCCCUGUACAUAAAAUGAUAUUUUAUCGGCGUGAUUGCUCUCAAGUAAGACGGGACCGGUGAAAUCCCGUCUGAAUCCGGGGCCACUAUAGCUCCAAGGCUAAAUAUUUUUAAUGAUCGAUAGCGAACUAGUACCGUGAGGGAAAGGUGAAAAGCAUCCCGAUGAGGGAGAUGAAAUAGUAUCUGAAACCAUAUGCUAACGAAGAGUCAGAGCCGUGCAUAGCACGGAAGCUCCAAAUCCAAAAUCCCAAAUCCAAAAUAAAUCCCAAAUCCAAAAUCCCAAAGUUUAAAACAUUGGGUCAUUGGAAAAUUGUCUGGCUUUGCCAGACUUGGCGUAGCCAAGGAAUUUGUUUGGAAAUUGGAAAUUGGAAAUUGGAAAUUCCGCGCUGUGCGCGGUGAUGGCGUGCUUUUUGUAGAACGAGCCAACGAGUUAGUUCUGUGCGGCUGGAUAAGCUACUUUCGUAGCGGAUCCACAGUGAAAGCGAGGCUUAACCGCCGUUCGUUCGUAUCAUACUGCGUGUGAUACUCACUUAAAAUCAAAAUUAAAAAAUCAAAAAUUAAAAUUUUGGUAUGCGCUUCGCGCAUGACAAUUAUAGAUAAGUAAUUGUCGCGAAGCGACUCCUUAAUUUUUCAUUUUGAUAUUUAAUUUUUAAAUUUUAGCGAGUAUCGAGCGUAGCGAGAUACGAGCGAUUGUCGUACGGACUAGACCCGAAGCCAGGCGAGCUAUUUAUGAGCAGGGUGAAUUUGGAGUAAAAUCCAAAAGAGGCCCGAACCCACGAGCCGUUCAACACUCGGGGAUGACUUGUGAAUAGAGGAGAAAUUCCAAUCGAGCUUGGCGAUAGCUGGUUCUUCCCGAAAUAGCUUGAGGGCUAGCGUCUUUUAAAUGAGCUUAAAAGGUAGAGCUACUGAAUGAGAAUUCGCGGUUCGCCGUAGGAUUCUCAACCAAACUCCGAAUUUUUAAGUUUCUUAUUAGGGCAGUCAGAAAUCCGGGUCUAAGCUCGGAUCUCAAAAGGGAAAAAGCCCAGACCGCAAUCUAAGGUCCCCAAAUUUAUGUUAAGUGGAAAAGGAGGUGAAGUUUCUUAUACACCUAGGAGGUUGGCUCAGAAGCAGCCAUCCUUUAAAGAGUGCGUAACAGCUCACUAGUCUAGAGACUUUGCGCCGAAAAUUUAACGGGGCUAAACAUAAUACCGAAGGUGCGGGUCAGUGUUAUGCACUGGAAAUCCCAAAUCCAAAAUCCCAAAUCCAAAAUAAAUCCCAAAUCCAAAAUCCCAAAGUUUAAAACAUUGGGUCAUUGGAAAAGUGCCUGCCUGCCGGCAGGCAGGGAAUUUGUUUGGAAAUUGGAAAUUGGAAAUUGGAAAUUCCAGCGCGUAGCGCUGGCGGUAGGGAAGUGUUCUCUGCGCAGCGAAGUCCACGAUGUGAAUCGGGAUGGAGCGCAGAGAAGUAAGAAUGUUGGCAUGAGUAACCACAAUACCGAUGAAAACUCGGUACACCGAAAGUCUAAGGUUUCCUGGGCAAUGACAAUCAUCCCAGGGUUAGUCGGGCCUAAGGCGAGGCCGAAAGGCGUAGUCGAUGGACAUACGGUUAAUAUUCCGUAACUUCAAAAAUUUUCGAUGGAGCGACGUAUCUUUGUAGUUUUUGCGCAUUAUUGGAUUUGCGUAUUUAAUUUGAGGGUGCUUUUCAGGCAAAUCCGGAAAGUAUCGCCCAAGAAUUAGGUGGAAUUCCGACGUAAGUCGGGAGAACAAAGGCGAGCAAGGUACCAGGAAAAACUUCUAAGAUUAUGAUUUUUGAAUCCGUACUAAAACCGACACAGGUAGACUGGGCGAGAAGCCUAAGGUGAACGGAUGAACCUUCGUCAAGGAACUCUGCAAUACAACUAGACGUAAGUUAGCAAGAUGUCUUUCCUACACCACCUUGAUUCUUUAGAUUAUUUUUUAAUAAGGAAUCAGAGUGGUGUAGGACACAGUAAAAAAUUUCAAGCGACUGUUUAUCAAAAACACAGGUCUCUGCAAACUCGCAAGAGGAAGUAUAGGGGCUGACGCCUGACCAGUGCUGGAACGUUAACGGAAGCGGUGCAAGCCAAUUCCCGAAGCGCCAGUGAACGUCGGCGAUAACUAUAAUCGUCCUAAGGUAGCGAAAUUCCUUGUCAGGUAAGUUCUGACCCGCAUCAAAGGCGUAACGACUUGAAAACUGUCUCGACGAAGAGUCCGGUGAAAUUGCAAUGGCGGUAAAGAUGCCGUCGACCUGCAGCAAGACGAAAAGACCCCGUGGAGCUUUACUACAACUUGGUAUUGACUUAGAGUUUUAGUUGCCGAGCUUAGGUGGGAGGCUGUGAAGUCCCGAUUCUGGUCGGGAUGGAGCCAACAAGUGGAAUACCACCCUGCUGAUGUUCUAAGUCUAACCCUGGUCUGUUAUGAGUCUACUAAGACGAAUAACCAUUGAUGAACCAGAAAAUAUACUCAAAUUGUUUAGUGUGUUUUUCAUGGUUCAAAAAUUUAUUUAGUCUUAGUUAUUCAUACCAGACCGGGAACAGUGCCUGGUGGGUAGUUUGACUGGGGCGGUCGCCUCCUAAAUGGCAACGGAGGCGUUUACAAAGGUUGGCUAGGUCCGGAUGGAAAUCGGACNNNNNNNNNNNNNNNNNNNNNNNNNNNNNNNNNNNNNAAGUUACCCCGGGGAUAACAGGCUGAUCCCUCCCAAGAGUCCACAUCGACGGAGGGGUUUGGCACCUCGAUGUCGGCCCAUCGCAUCCUGGGGGUGGAGAAGCUCCCAAGGGUUUGGCUGUUCGCCAAUUAAAGCGGUACGCGAGCUGGGUUCAAACCGUAAAACAGCUUUUAGCUAUUAGCUUAUAGCUUUUAGGUAAAGGAAAUUUUACAGUUUGAAUCCGAGGUAAAGACAUCACAAGCGGCGGCUUUUAGUAGCAAUAUUAAAAGUGAAGCUAACUUAUAUCGGUAAAAUCCCGAAUUCUCGGGACAAUACCGAGGGAAUGGUUCGACUUUGCUCACCAUGAGCGAUAAGAAUCGACCCGUAGAGACUAAACGUUAGCCUUCCUGAAUUUUAGGGAAGAAUUUAUAGUCCAUACACGCAGUAAUGCGUGAACCAGUAUGCGUGAGACAGGUUGGUCUCCUAUCUGCUGUGGGCGUUUAUUGCUUGAGAGGAGUCUUUUUUAGUACGAGAGGACCGAAAAGAACGAACCUCUGGUGUACCAGUUGCAUCGCCAGAUGCACAGCUGGGUAGCUAAGUUCGGACUGGAUAAUCGCUGAAAGCAUAUAAGCGAGAAGCCAUCCUCAAGAUUAGGCAAUGCCAAUGCGUA
rnacentral:rRNA from 1 species